CCGUGGGUGACUCCUGGCGACUCUCGCGAUGCCAGUAACAGUCUGUUUGUCUGGCCCAUGCCAGUCGUCGUCCCGAGUCGUCUCGCUACGCCAGUUCGUUGCGCAAAUUGAAGUUGAUUGAAAUGAAUGAAUGAAGUUAUUACACAUAACACGGAGACCCGAAGAGAAGUGUUACAUCUUGUAGUAAUAAGAAACGUGAAAAAAUAUUUUACAUCCAGUUGCGUGUGAUGUUUGAGAUAUAAUGAAUUAAAUAAGAAAAAUCAACCCCCCGAUCGAUCAACGUUUCUAAAGUGCGCAAUAUUAAAAUCACGUGCAAAUUGAAGAGUUACGUCGCUUUUGAAGAAAAAAAAAGAGAGAAGUAAGAAUGACUCGUUAGUUGUACGUUCCUGGAUCAUAGAGGUAGGACCGCCUCUGACGAACGAAUAGGCGCGGUUAAGAUUGGCAACCAAGACUGGUCGCCGAUAACUCGACUCUCUAACGAGGUGGUAUCGUGGACCAGGUCUAGAGGACGCGAUGGCGGCCUGUACAAGAGAGGCCUUGUAAAAAGCGCAGCUGAUUAGCGGCCGAUGGUGAAAGUGAAUUGAAUCUGCAAAUAUCAGAUGAAGGCGAUGAGCGGCGCGAAGAAAGAUAAACAUCAAUUUACGUUCAAAGAAUAUCAAGAUUCCGUCAUCUCUUCGUGGGACGACUGGGUGCGGUUAAGUUGUUGGCCACGUCGGUGUCAGGUCGGUGCCGAGAAGUCUACCGGAGAUAACCAGCUGCAUCGGUAGACUGCCUGCUGCCUGCGCGGGCCCCGUAGGGCCCCUCCGGGACCGGUUAUACUUGACCCAGCGCGAUUCGUUGCACGCUGUCCGAGACCGGAUCGCGGCGUCCGCUACCGAACACAUAGGUAUAACGUACAGCUCGAAGGCGUACGUAUGGAUCGCAGAUACGGAUCAGGAACGGAGUGUCGGAAUAAGCGCGGAGAAAGGAGGGAGUAGAUUGGCAGGAAUUCCAGCCGGGGAUAUAAAACUUCACGGGACGCGAGAGAUGGCAUUUAUGUAGAUGAGUUCCACCAAGGAUACUGUUUAUAUUACUCAACCACAUAUGUGCUGCGUGAGUUCGAAACAGUUACGGAAUCAGAGAUCCACGGAAGCGAAAGUUCUAGUUUUCUUCCGAGGUCCUCCUCUCUUUCAGGUGUUUAUAUAUACGUACACACAUACAUACAAUUUAUAC